rnacentral:rRNA from 1 species
UAAACGACUCUCGGCAACGGAUAUCUCGGCUCUCGCAUCGAUGAAGAACGUAGCGAAAUGCGAUACUUGGUGUGAAUUGCAGAAUCCCGUGAACCAUCGAGUCUUUGAACGCAAGUUGCGCCCGAGGCCUCUGGUCAAGGGCACGUCUGUCUGGGCGUCACGC